GAUGAACGCUGGCGGCGUGCCUAAUACAUGCAAGUCGAGCGAACGGACGAGAAGCUUGCUUCUCUGAUGUUAGCGGCGGACGGGUGAGUAACACGUGGAUAACCUACCUAUAAGACUGGGAUAACUUCGGGAAACCGGAGCUAAUACCGGAUAAUAUUUUGAACCGCAUGGUUCAAAAGUGAAAGACGGUCUUGCUGUCACUUAUAGAUGGAUCCGCGCUGCAUUAGCUAGUCGGUAAGGUAACGGCUUACCAAGGCAACGAUGCAUAGCCGACCUGAGAGGGUGAUCGGCCACACUGGAACUGAGACACGGUCCAGACUCCUACGGGAGGCAGCAGUAGGGAAUCUUCCGCAAUGGGCGAAAGCCUGACGGAGCAACGCCGCGUGAGUGAUGAAGGUCUUCGGAUCGUAAAACUCUGUUAUUAGGGAAGAACAUAUGUGUAAGUAACUGUGCACAUCUUGACGGUACCUAAUCAGAAAGCCACGGCUAACUACGUG
rnacentral:rRNA from 1 species